GUCUUAAUUGAGAUCACCUGUCAUGCACCCCUUUAUUAAAGGUGAACACAAUAGGUUUGGUUUACUUUACGCAUCGGCCUGUGUCAAUCGAGGUUGAGUUUAGUGAGGGUUGAAAGUUUUCGAUCUAGAUUGCAGAUCACUAUUGUCACUUUAUACAAACUGAAAGUAUGCGUUGUUGCGUGUUUGUUUUUGUGGGCAUUUGACUGAACAGCCCAGACAAAUAUUGCUACCAACAUGGCACUUCGAAACAGACCACCGCAGUGUUAGAUGACUGACAAGAUCUAUGGGGGGGCCCCCUUUGGGCCCCCCCAUACCAACUUAGUCUUCAAAGGAAUCUAGUGCCAUGGGACUCCAGUGUCUUCAAAACAUCCUCGGAAUACAUGUGUAUGAAUGGUCCACCGAAGGGUUGAUCUGGAAGCCACCACGGUCCACGCAGUAAUCUGCUGCGUGGGCCGUAGUGGCUUCCAGAGCCAUCUUUCGGUCUUGGUUAGGAUUUGUUACAGUUGCCCUUCAAUGUAGCAGGCUACGGGUUUCUGAAGAAGCCUGCUUGACGUAGCAUUGGAGUACAAAUAUUGUGCAAAAUGCUCAUGUAAUUGCACUAGCACUGGUAACCUGUAGAUUAGCUUAGUUUAACGUCAUUCGGUGCUGUCUGUCAAAUGUGUGGCUUACUUUAAGUCCACAAGGCCCUCUGGUAAACCACGUUGGAACACCCCUGGACAAGGUGAUUAGUCACUGGGUGUGUGCUCAAGUUUUGUUCCAUUUUUCACUAGUUGGUUAAGGUUUGGUAGAAUUGUUUGGAUGCUAGCGACGUGAUGGCGUAUGUACAAGAGCCUACCGUGGCCAGGCCACAGUUGGGACGGCCACUGCCAGAUGGCCUAGUGUGAGUGCAACCUUGAUUGCAUUUGUAUACUGUUUGCCAUUGGAUGUUUAUGCAAUUUGGCUUAAUUCAUCCGCUGUAAAGCUGCAUUUGACUAUUCCAGGGUCGUUUUGUACAGGCUUUCAAUUGACCAUGUUGACUAGUUUGUGGGAAUUUUUUUUUUUUUUUUUUUUUACCCUUGCUUACAAUCCAACGGUUGCGACCACUUAUGCAACUGGGCUGUGAACCUUGCAAUUCUAGUUGCAUAUUUGUACACGCAAGCUUGUCCAUUUCUAUCACCAUCACUAACACUAGCUUCAGCAUUUCCUUGUAGGCCAUUAGCUGACUUGUGUGUCUGGUGUGCAAGAGCCAAUUUGUUGGCUUGCAGUAGUCGAGGAGUUGCCGUAGGUCGUAAGCCAUCUGGAGGUUGUGGCAAUAGAGGCUUGUGGUAGAUCUGCCAUCCAAGAAAGGUUAAUUCUUCUGAAGCAUGAUUAAUAGUUUAGUAAAUUGAAUCUAUUCAUAUUGAACUAUAAAAUCCAAGACUGCAGCCAGUAACUUGGAUCGCAAUAUGUGGAAAGUAUUGGUCUUCAUUUGUAACAACAGAAUAAUUAACAUGACUGACUGGGUUUCUUCCAUUUUCUAACUAGGGGGGACUUGACUGGUGAGUCUACUGGAUUAAUCAGUAGCGGUACUUUGCCCAACAGAUUUGAUGGUAUGACUAUAGGGUGACAAAGACAAUUAUUCCCUGCCUAUCAAAAGAGACUUCUAAAACAUAUCUGCUAGAACAGUUCCUAUACUUUUUGUAUAAUUUGGUCAUGCUGCAAAUUUACUUUUGUAGUUGCUCCAUAUUUAGUUUUUUGACAGCCUCACCUGCUAGAAAAGUCUACUCAAAUCGGCUAAAUAUAAUGAACUAAAUUAAUAGCCAUGAAAUGUUGUCACUCAUACUAAUGGCAAAUACCCCCUUUCAGUUGGUGGUUCAACACUGAUGUCUCUCUAGGCUUGAGGGAGAGCUCACAAGUAAAUUACAAGAAUGUCCUGGAGCAAUUGGGAAUACACUUUUAUUUAGUCUACCUGACCAGGGACAUCUUUGAACUAUAGGUCACCUAACCCAAACUUUUCACUCUUGUUAGGUUGUCCUUUUCUCUUGUUUUAACCCGAAAGGGCUGAAAAUAUCAACAUUUCAGGUAUUCUGUUUGGAUAAUGUGCAAAACUUGUGGCUUCACUAAUAAAAAAAAUUAACGAAUGUAUUUUUCUUAAUGUGGUUAAACUAUUUAAAGAUUUGUAUGCAAAAUAUUUCUGCUCAAUUUGUGGUCAAUGAAACUCAAUUUUUUUAAUUUGAUAAAACACAACUAUGGGUUAAAGGUAUUUGCUUGGGCAUCUUUUGAUAUUUUUAGAAUCUAGCUCCAUUGCCGUUAGAAAUGGUGUCUCCCAGUACUGCAAAGUGCUUCCACAAGUUUAAAAAAGAAUGGGCAGAAAAGGAACUGCCAACUAAAUCUAUUUAACAUGGGUAGAAAGUUUCCAUGGAAGCUCUUGGCUGCUGGUUCCCAACACAGCUCCACUGUUAGCCUGUGACCUUGCGUUUAACUGUUUUGGACUUAUGGUGACUGUCACAAAAGAGAAAUGAACUGGUUAAUACAAUAAACAAGACAUUUGAAACUUCAGCUACAUUUUUAUCUAUUUGUACUGCCUUUGAUUUCAACCCAUGACAUGUUUGUCAGGUGAUAACUAUGUACCUGUGACCGCAUAUCAUGGUACCAUUUUGAACUGUUUGUGGAUAUUGCAUUAAAUCCAUAUGCUUGAAACUUUUCAAUAAUGCAUAUCAACGAAACGAUGUGAUGUAAUAAAUAGUUCAAGCAA
ensembl:lncRNA